AUUGAACGCUGGCGGCAUGCCUUACACAUGCAAGUCGAACGGUAACGGGCCUUCGGGUGCCGACGAGUGGCGAACGGGUGAGUAAUGCAUCGGAACGUGCCCAGUGGUGGGGGAUAGCCCGGCGAAAGCCGGAUUAAUACCGCAUACGACCUACGGGUGAAAGCGGGGACCUUUACGGGCCUCGCGCCAUUGGAGCGGCCGAUGUCAGAUUAGGUAGUUGGUGGGGUAAAGGCCUACCAAGCCGACGAUCUGUAGCUGGUCUGAGAGGACGACCAGCCACACUGGGACUGAGACACGGCCCAGACUCCUACGGGAGGCAGCAGUGGGGAAUUUUGGACAAUGGGCGCAAGCCUGAUCCAGCCAUGCCGCGUGCGGGAAGAAGGCCUUCGGGUUGUAAACCGCUUUUGUCAGGGAAGAAAUCCUGCGGGCCAAUACCCUGCGGGGAUGACGGUACCUGAAGAAUAAGCACCGGCUAACUACGUGCCAGCAGCCGCGGUAAUACGUAGGGUGCAAGCGUUAAUCGGAAUUACUGGGCGUAAAGCGUGCGCAGGCGGUUGUGCAAGACAGAUGUGAAAUCCCCGGGCUCAACCUGGGAACUGCAUUUGUGACUGCACGGCUGGAGUGCGGCAGAGGGGGAUGGAAUUCCGCGUGUAGCAGUGAAAUGCGUAGAUAUGCGGAGGAACACCGAUGGCGAAGGCAAUCCCCUGGGCCUGCACUGACGCUCAUGCACGAAAGAGUGGGGAGCAAACAGGAUUAGAUACCCUGGUAGUCCACGCCCUAAACGAUGUCAACUGGUUGUUGGACGGCUUGCUGUUCAGUAACG
rnacentral:rRNA from 1 species